ACGCUCGACACCUACGGGAGCAGCAGUGGGGAAUAUUGCACAAUGGGGGAAACCCUGAUGCAGCAACGCCGCGUGAGUGAAGAAGUAUUUCGGUAUGUAAAGCUCUAUCAGCAGGGAAGAUAAUGACGGUACCUGACUAAGAAGCUCCGGCUAAAUACGUGCCAGCAGCCGCGGUAAUCUAGNGCGGGCUGGCAAGGC
rnacentral:rRNA from 1 species